rnacentral:lncRNA from 1 species
UUUUUUGGUAAAAUCGGGAAUUUUUUUUACAAAAGACCAAAUUUCAGAUAUAUUUAACUAAAACUACAUGUAUAAUAUAACUUUGAUUUAAUAGAGGGAGAUGAAUAUGAAUAAACAAACCAAUAACACACAUUUAUCAUUGAUUAACCACAAACAUAUAAAAUUUAAGUUAGAUUUGUUAUACAAAUUCCAUUGAUCUUAAAAUGUUAAUUAUCUCGCUGAACACAAAUAUU